UACAGGGGGGGCAAGCGUUGUUCGGAAUUAUUGGGCGUAAAGGGCGCGUAGGCGGCCUGGCAAGUGGAAGGUGAAAUCCCUCGGCUUAACCGAGGAACUGCCCUCCAAACUGCUUGGCUUGAGUCCGGGAGAGGUGAGUGGAAUUCCCAGUGUAGCGGUGAAAUGCGUAGAUAUUGGGAGGAACACCAGUGGCGAAGGCGGCUCACUGGACCGGAACUGACGCUGAGGCGCGAAAGCGUGGGGAGCAAACGGG
rnacentral:rRNA from 1 species